GUAGAGUGGGAGUAAGACUACAACUUAAUUUGAAGUGGAAAUGCCGAUUUAACAGUAUUUGUCCUAAUCUAAAAUGGAUAAAAUAAGAAAAAAACAAUAUAGUUCCCUGCCAAGGAAAAAUUUUGGUA
rfam:Virgibacillus soli strain PL205 scaffold000013, whole genome shotgun sequence.